UUCAGAUUUGGUGCAUUGUACUAACGAACCCAACGUAUCAAUCCCACAGCUAGCAAAUUUGUUGAUUGAAAGAUCACAAAACACAAACUGGAUAGUUGUAUAUAAAGCCUUAGUCACAGUCCAUCAUAUGAUGUGUUAUGGAAAUGAAAGAUUCACACAAUUUCUGGCGUCCAGCAAUAGUACGUUUCAACUGAGCAACUUUUUGGAUAAAGGUGGAGUUCAAGGAAUCCUUAGCGCUAGAGCUGGUAAGUUUUGU